GAAGGUUGGGGAAGUAGAAAAAAGCCUUGGCAACAGUGGAGAUGUUAAUUUCUAUGCUCAAUUGGUUGAUGAAGCUGAAGGCUUAGAAAAGAUUGAGAACUUGCAGAGCCAUGACAAUAAUGAAAUUUAUGAAAAAGCGGUCAAAAUACUAGAGACGUAUUGGUUGGAGGAGGAGGAUGAAACGUUGCCAGCUGGUGAUGGAGGCCAGCCUGGAUUCAACUUUGGAGGGAAUGAUAUGCAACUUCCACCUGGUGGAUUUAAAUUUGGCUGAAGGUAAAGAUUCAGAUGUGCAGAUCCAACUGUUCCCUGUUCCACAUGCAGCUUCCAUGUUCUGCAUGCGGCUUCUGACAUGCUAAACAUGAAGUUUUGUUUCUGGCUGAUUAAAUCAAAUCAAAUUUGUCAAUUUCCACCUUCGACUAUGGGAACCUUGAUAAUUCAGGCUCAACUGAAACCUUCUAUGAGAUAUAUUUAUUUCCUCAUCCUGGAGAUUUCAAUUGUUAUGCAAGUACUAUGGCUUCUUAUGCACCUUCUUAAUAACGGACAUAAAUUUGCAGGGUCAUUAGUUGGUGGAUACAACCUCAGAUUGAGGACAGCGUGUUUGUUGGCGUCAAGUCAAGGUCAGGUCGGGUCAGUUCAAGUUAGAGCACCUCACAGAGUCUGGCUGUUGUAUGGUUCAGUGUCGGUUGCCUUAAGGAGGUGCCAAGGCAGGUCUUUUGGUACUACGGUGGAGAAUAAGAAAGGGUGCGUGCUCACUGGUUGAUGGUAUGUUGGGCUUGGUUAAUUCCCCUGAUGGAGAAUGGCAUGGGGAAAAAUGAAGGGUUUGUGGACUCUUCAAAUGAGUUGUCAGAACACGGGGUUUUGUAUUUUGUCUUUUCAUGCCUUGUAAUUGAGUACAUGGUACCACAGAGUCGUCAAGUAUUGAUGGGUAGUUACCGAGUUCUGUAUGUAUUGAUCAUGAUUCGGGAUUGUUUUGUUGGUGUAUUGUAAGCAAGGGAAGAGAGAGACGAGAGUUCACAAUUCACUUGAUAUCCUAGUAUGGUAUGUUUACUAGUCAUUUGUUUGUAAGUAGGUGUUUUUUUUUUUUUUUUUUUUUGAUAAUUGUAAGUAGGUGUUGUCAUACAGCUUUUCAGUUUCUUGCAGACACGGUUGGUCUUCUAGAUUGUACUACAGUUUUGUUCCUCCCAGGCACUGAAAGUUCAAAGUUUUCGGAAUCGGCUUUGCUUUACAUUUUUUUUUUUUUUGGGAUACGAUGGACUUACAUUUAUUUACUUUAUAUUAGGGGAACGGAGGACCCAAAGAGAUCGAAAGAGAACUUGGAGAGGAUUGAGGCUGGAUUUUUAGAAUAUAGACAGAGAGAUUUGGUCUCUUGAUUUAUACUCAAGUACAGCUUUAAACUUCUUUUGGGGACCGACUAUAUUAGGAGUGGUUGCGUUACUAGAUAUCUUUGGAAUCCAUGAACAUGCACAUCUUUUUUUCGGGGAUGUGCUGAGCUGACUUUUUACCGGGCAAAUCCCAAAAUCAAAAUGGAAUGUGCAGCAUUCCACUGAAACGAAAUCAGGAGAGACGUUAUCAUUUAUGCCCACGGUUUGGUCAUACACUCAUUUUCCACUGCUCAAAAAAACCUCAAGAGUCAACCAUUCAGCAUUCCAGCCGCUAACCUUUUAAACGUAGGAAACUAAGGUGAAUCAGAAGGAGCAGUAAGGGCUGUAUUUGAAUGGUGUAACUUUAAGUGAACAAAUUGUAAUUGUUUAUUAAUUGUUUGUACAAUUUUUCCAUCAUAGAAGUGUAAUAUUUGGAAAUUAUUUAUGUGGAUUUCAUAUAUUCUCUCAAUCCCAUUUUGAUUGUCUUGAUUUUUUUUCCAUACAGUUUAAGAAAAAUUAAUUAACUUCGUUGAAAGAGUAAAUCUAGUCUACUUUUUUUUUUUUAAAUACACUUACAUUAUUAGCAGGAGUAUAACUAAUUAUUAUAUCUUUACAGUAAUUACAACAGCAAUACUAAUGAAAAGUUGCACCAUUCAAGACAUGAAAUGAGAACAAUUAUUGAAUAAGGUAUAUUAUACUCAUUAAUAACAAAGUAUAUUAAAUAAGGGUAUUUUAGAGAAAUUAAAAGUUACUAUAUUCUUUAAUUGGAAAAUAGACUAUAAAUUAGGGCGAAUGAAAAGGAAGAAUAACACUAUCAAAAUGAGAAAGGGAGAAUAUAAAAUAAUUGUGUCCCUGUCAUGAGGUUGUACAAGUCAUUAAAUAAUGAGUUACAAUUUACUGAAAAAUGUUACGAACAUGUUUAGGAAUAAUUGUAAUAAAAAAUUGUUCUUGCCCAUCUUGAAUUAAAAAAGAUUAAAUUUCACCUUGUCCAUCAGUUUUGAACUUCAUUGUCUCUCUUGAAUUGGCCCAAAUCUCCACUGCAAGAAUUCCAAGCCAUAGAGUUUUGUUAUGUUGUUUAUGUUUAGUCUUUUACUAGUUUUAUUUAUCCAAAAAAAGAAAAAAUUAUGAACACAAAGGGUUUGUUCUCAUUGAUUAUUUUAACUAACUAUAGAUUCUAAUUUUGGAUAACCAAUUUUUGUGACUUUUUGUUGUUUUUGUAUUCUAAUUAUAGAUUUUUUUAAUGGUCAAAAGGCUAAAACCUAUAAUCACUUAAAUAGUAAACACUGAAUUAUUCUCUUUUAUCAAUUUCUAUGAUCAGAUUCUGUAAAAUCUUAAAAUAAUGGACACCAAAGCUAAAUUCAAUUACGAACAUAAGAUCACAAAUUCAAUACUUUAGAAGACAAGAGAGGCCCCAGUGCAGCCCAGACUGCAGAACCCAGGCCCAAAUAAGUCCUCCCAUAAUCCAAAACCCUUCCCUUCUCUCUUUCUUCACCUGGUAGACUACUACAAUUCCCUCCCUCCCUCCCUCCCUCUCUCUCUCUCACUCCCCCACACUCUGUCACGCGCAUACGCGCAUACACUGAACAAUUUCAAUCACCGCUUUCUAAUAUUUCUUUUAAUUUGUGCAAUUCAUUUUUCCCCUUAAUUGGAGUGAUAUAAUCAUAUCAAUUUCGGAUUUGUUUUGUUAGAUUUUGAUUAGAGUGAAGGAAAUCAGCUUAGUGGGAACGAUGUCGUUGAGACCGACCGAGAGAACGGAGGUUCGCAGGAACCGAUACAAGGUUGCGGUCGAUGCUGAAGAAGGACGGCGGAGGAGGGAGGAUCAAAUGGUGGAGAUCCGAAAGAGUAAGCGGGAGGAGAAUCUUCUUAAGAAGCGUCGUGAAGGCCUUCAGAUGUCUCAACCCUUCCCUGCGCCCGUCCCCUCCAAUAACAUCGAGAAAAAGGUCUUAAUUGUUUUCCAAGUAAUCUGAGUAAUUAUUUAGACGUAAUUUGAUUAAUUGAUCCAUUUGAAAUUGUGCGAUCUGAUGUUGGCGAGAAUGUGAAUAGGUGUUUUGUAUUUAUGUAAACUUUUCUGCUUUUGAUUUUUCACCAUCUUUUUUUCAAUCAUCAAUUCAUAGUGGCAUCAUAAGUUACGAAGAAAAAAUUGGUUUCCAUUUGUUCUUAUCUUGGCAUGUAUAUGGAUCAACUACUUGUGCAGAAGCGUUAGUACUUGAGAUUUGGCUGUGAAGUCCCAAGCUCGUCACUAAUAAUAAUCUGGAUUGUUUUCUCGUUGUUUUUUACAUUGCGAUUCCUGUAUUUACUUGCUCAUGCUCUCUGUUUGUUUAUGAACACUGUUUGUUUUAUGUGCGAUUCUGUCUUUUAUAAGCCUGCUGCAGUUAAGUGGGAAUAGUCUGUUUUUGAGCUCUGAUUGUUUUUAUACGACAGUCCUUAGAGCUGACUUAUUUUGCUGCAGUUGGAGAGUCUCCCUUUGAUGGUGAAUGGAGUUUAUUCGAAUGAUAACAAUUUGCAGUUGGAGGCAACCACUCAAUUUCGUAAAUUGCUUUCAAUAGGUAUGAUUGUGUUCCUUAUUUAACGUGCAUUUUUUUAAUUAUCGUAGCUCAUCUUAUUUCUGAAAUUUUAAUUCCAGAAAGAAGCCCUCCCAUUGAGGAAGUUAUACAAUCUGGAGUUGUUCCUCGCUUUGUUGAGUUCCUUAUGAGGGAGGAUUUCCACCAGCUCCAGGUUUGAAGCUGAAGCUUUUUUGCAGGAUAUCUGUUUAUUCACUUUGUAAUUUUGUAAUUUGAGCUGUGUUUUGCUUAAUUAAUUUAUUAAUUUUGUUAGUUUGAGGCUGCUUGGGCACUUACGAACAUUGCAUCUGGAACUUCGGAGAACACCAAGGUGGUGAUUGAUCACGGGGCUGUACCCAUUUUUGUCAAGCUUUUGGGUUCUCCAAGUGAUGAUGUCCGUGAGCAGGUAAUGUGUAAUGUUGACCAGUUCUUUUAAGGCAUUAUUUGGCUGCGAGAAAUUUUGGUUAGGAAAGUGUUGUGUUUCCUAGACUCUUAAUUUUGUCAUUUUGAGAGGCAAUUUGCUUCUAGGGAAUCAUGGAAAAAUGUUUGGCAUUUUAAAUAAAGCAACGAAGGAAAUUGAUUAUUCAUUGAACUCCAAAAGCAGUGAGAAAAAUUAGGGAGGUGAAUGAAUAAAGGAGGAGUCCAUUGUCCUCUCUUGUGACUCGAGAAGUUCUAAGAGUGCGCGCACUGCUAUCUCAAGUUUACGUUGUGGUUCUUAAUUGUUGCUUGUUUCUAUUUAGACAAUGUCUUGUACACUUCCACAAAAUCUACUUCUUUCUAUCUGUGUUUCAACAUAUUUGGUAUUGUUUUUGGUGGCUCAGCCUUUCUUUUGUAUCAUGGAUGUUUAUUUUCCUAUUCUGUUCAUGUUAUGAUUCAUUUUCAUUGUGGGCGAAUGACUUUGCUGGUUGCACAUAACAUUAGACUUGGAGGAUUUGCUGCUGGUAAAAGAAUAAUUUUAUGGUCCUUAAGAUUGUUGUUUAGUUUGUGUCAGAGUGGGAAAAGGCAAUUGAUGGUCCUUAAGUAAUUGUUUUUAGUUCUUGUAGUUAUGCUGUAUUGAUGAGGGAAUGGUUAAUAGGUAAAAACAGACAAUAGGAAUUGAGGUUGAUAAAUCAUUCAUUAGUGUCCUUUUGUGUUACUACCAACAAAAUAGGAUGCAAGGAAAAAAGUUUUAGCAUUGUAGGGAGACUUACUAGAGUUGUCAUGAAUUUGUAGGCUGUAUGGGCACUGGGAAAUGUUGCAGGUGAUUCUCCAAGGUGUCGUGACCUUGUCCUUGGGCAUGGGGCUUUAAUCCCUUUGCUGGCACAAUUGAAUGAGCAUGCCAAGCUUUCAAUGCUGCGAAAUGCUACCUGGACAUUGUCAAACUUCUGCCGGGGCAAACCACAACCUCCAUUUGAGCAGGUUCACUGCGUAAUUAUGUUGUGCUUUUGUUCUCUUCUUUUUAGACUUGUUAAGUAGUUUUGAUUUUAGUCCGAGAAUAUAAUAACAUGCUGUAAGAUUCAAUUGUCAGGUGAGGCCAGCCCUCCCCGCACUUCAGCGUCUUGUUCAUUCAAAUGAUGAAGAAGUCCUUACUGAUGCAUGCUGGGCUCUCUCCUAUCUCUCUGAUGGUACAAAUGACAAAAUUCAAGCUGUGAUUGAGGCAGGUGUCUGUCCAAGACUCGUGGAGCUACUUGUGUGAGUGUCCUUUUACACAAUUUACAUCUCACUUAUCUUUGUUGUUUCUCAUUAAUUUCUGAAAUUCAUGGUUAAAACAAAUUUUACUUGUCAGGCAUCCAUCUCCUUCUGUGCUUAUUCCUGCACUUCGCACAGUUGGGAAUAUUGUUACAGGAGAUGAUUAUCAGACUCAGGUACUAUCUUCAGCUGGGCUCUUUAUUUUGAUGUUUUAUUUAUCUUUUGAAAGAAAAUGAUAACUUUGUGCAGGCAUACUGAACCUUAGUACCUGUCAUUUGGCCCUUUAAUAGUUAAGUGUGUUUUACUUGUCUGUUCUUUAUUGAAAUGUUGUUUGCAUAGUACAGCACUUGCCAUCUUGCUUCCCUUACUGGUACCGAUAUCCUGUGACAUCUGGUUGGAUGAAGAUUUAGUAUGUUCUGUGUUUUCCCCCCUUUGGCUAUUACUGCUAUCAUCCGCAGCAUGAUGAAAUCUUGGAAUGUAUAUAGAAUGGAAAGUCUCUCAUCUCCUAUUAUUACUGUUUUGAGUUGCUAUCUUGACAGUAGGAAGAAGUUCAUUGAGAUUGAUUGUUAAGUACUUUAUUUCAGCUUCCUCCCACCCCCACCCAAAAAUAGAGAGAGAGAGUUGAAGAAGGAGAAGUAAACAAGAAUUAUAAUGUAUUUGAGAUUUUGACAUUCAGUCUUUGUUUCAGUGUAUAAUUGACCACGGGGCACUCCCUUGUUUGCUGAGCUUAUUGACUCAUAAUCAUAAAAAGAGCAUCAAGAAAGAAGCUUGCUGGACUAUUUCCAAUAUUACUGCUGGAAAUAAGGAGCAGAUUCAGGUAUAGUGUUUUCUUCUUAAAUUUUCUUAUGUAUGAUGUCCAGCUGAUUUACUCUGUGAUCCCCCACCCCGUCCCCCUCUGGAAAAAGGAAAACCUAUCAUUGUCUUUUGAAUUAUUUACUGUGUGGUGUUUUGGUUCCAAUUAGGAUGUUUAUACACUUUGUAUGCUGUUUUCCUUUUCACUUUACCUCAGCCUGUGUAUUUGUAUGUAAUGACAGGCUGUGAUUGAAGCUCAGUUAAUUGGCCCUUUGGUCAAUUUGCUUCAAACUGCUGAGUUUGACAUAAAAAAAGAGGCUGCUUGGGCUAUUUCAAAUGCUACCUCUGGUGGAACUCACGAACAAAUCAAGUAUGUUUUGUUUCUCAUCGCCUUCCGUGUUCAGUGCAGAAUGCGUGGACGUGAAUUUUAUGUUUUGUGUCUUGUGUAGGUACUUGGUUUCUCAAGGCUGUAUAAAGCCAUUGUGUGAUCUCCUUGUGUGCCCGGAUCCAAGAAUCAUUGCUGUGUGUUUAGAAGGUCUUGAGAAUAUAUUGAAGGUUGGGGAAGUAGAAAAAAGCCUUGGCCAUAGUGGAGAUGUUAAUUUCUAUGCCCAAUUGAUUGAUGAAGCUGAAGGCUUGGAAAAGAUUGAGCACUUGCAGAGCCAUGACAAUAAUGAAAUUUAUGAAAAAGCUGUUAAAAUACUAGAGACAUACUGGUUGGAGGAGGAGGAUGAAACAUUGCCAGCUGGUGAUGGAGGUCAGCCUGGAUUCAACUUUGGAGGGAAUGAUAUGCAACUUCCACCUGGUGGAUUUAAAUUUGGCUGAAGGUAAAGAUGUAGAUGUGCUGGUUCCAACUAUUCCCUGCUUCGCUUCAGCUUAUGACAUAUGCUAAAACAUGAAGUUUCAAUUCUGGCUGAUAAAUCAAAACAAUUUUUGUCAAUUUUAUUGACUAUGGGCACCUUGCCAGUUCAAGCAUCAGUCUAACAUGAUUCUCAGUGUUGUGCAAGUACUACACAACUCUUUAUCAACCAUCUUGCUAACCAACUUAUAUUUGCAGGGCC
rnacentral:lncRNA from 1 species